GAUGAACGCUGGCGGCGUGCCUAAUACAUGCAAGUCGAGCGAACAGACGAGGAGCUUGCUCCUCUGACGUUAGCGGCGGACGGGUGAGUAACACGUGGAUAACCUACCUAUAAGACUGGGAUAACUUCGGGAAACCGGAGCUAAUACCGGAUAAUAUAUUGAACCGCAUGGUUCAAUAGUGAAAGACGGUUUUGCUGUCACUUAUAGAUGGAUCCGCGCCGCAUUAGCUAGUUGGUAAGGUAACGGCUUACCAAGGCAACGAUGCGUAGCCGACGUGAGAGGGUGAUCGGCCACACUGGAACUGAGACACGGUCCAGACUCCUACGGGAGGCAGCAGUAGGGAAUCUUCCGCAAUGGGCGAAAGCCUGACGGAGCAACGCCGCGUGAGUGAUGAAGGUCUUCGGAGCGUAAAACUCUGUUAUUAGGGAAGAACAAAUGUGUAAGUAACUAUGCACGUCUUGACGGUACCUAAUCAGAAAGCCACGGCUAACUACGUG
rnacentral:rRNA from 1 species